AAAGGACCCCGGGAGGGGAGUGAAAUAGAACCUGAAACCUUGUGCCUACAAGCACAUAGAGCACAUCAACGUGUGAUAUGGUACUUUUUGUAGAACGGUCCGGCGAGCGAUUGUAUGUUGCGAGCUUAAGGUCUUAAGGACUGGAGGCGUAGCGAGAGCGAGUCUGAAUAGGGCGUUCAGUAACAUGCAAUGGGCCCGAAACCGGGUGACCUACCCAUGAUCAGGCUGAAGUGAAAGUAAAAUUUCAUGGAGGGCCGAACCGACCUCCGUUGAAAAGGCGGCGGAUGAAUUGUGGGUAGCGGAGAAAUUCCAAUCGAACUCGGAGAUAGCUGGUUCUCCCCGAAAUAGCUUUAGGGCUAGCCUCAUAUUAGAUACCCGGAGGUAAAGCACUGAAUGGCCUAGCGCCCGAGAGGGUAGCGAAGCCUAUCAAACUAAGAAUGCCGGAGUAUUGAUGUAUGGGAGUCAGACAGUGUGAGAUAAAUCUCAUUGUCAAAAGGGAAACAGCCCAGAUCUACAGCUAAGGUCCCAAAUUGUAUCUAAGUGGAAAACGAUGUGGAAAUACGCAGACAACCAGGAUGUUGGCUCAGAAGCAGCCACUCAUUUAAAGAGUGCGUAAUAGCUCACUGGUCGAGCGUCUCUGCGCGGAAAAUUUAACGGGGCUAAGAUACAAACCGAAGCUUAGGCUGCAUCGUAAGAUGCGGGGUAGGGGAGCGUUGUGUAAGCGGAGAAACAGUAGCGUAAGCGGCUGUGGAGUUUACAGAAGUGAGAAUGCCGGAAUGAGUAGCGCGAAUGUGGUGAGAAUCCACAUGGCCGGAAACCUCAGGUUUUUGGAGGAAGGUUCGUCCGCUCCAAGUUAGGCGGGAGCUAAGGUCAGGCCGAAAGGCGUAGCCGAUGCACAGACGGUAGAGAUUCCGUCCCCACCGAAAGAUUUAAGCACAGGGACACUUUUUGAAGGUCGGAGCCAGGUGUUGGUUCUGGUAGUGAUCGAGGGAAAUAUAGUACCGAAGUCCGGCUGGAGAAGAGGCGAGAAAAGCUGUGUGUAUAUCUAAGGUGCCCGUACCGCAAACCGACACAGGUAGGUAGGAAGAAGAUUCUAAGGCCAACGGGAGAAGGGUUGUUAAGGAACUCGGCAAGUUGACCCCGUAACUUCGGAAUAAGGGGUGCUCACGAGAGUGAGCCGCAGAGAAUAGGCCCAGGCAACUGUUUACCAAAAACACAGGUUUGUGCUAAAUCGAAAGAUGACGUAUACGAGCUGACGCCUGCCCGGUGCUGGAAGGUUAAAAGGAGAUGUGCAAGCAUUGAAUUGAAGCCCCAGUGAACGGCGGCCGUAACUAUAACGGUCCUAAGGUAGCGAAAUUCCUUGUCAGGUAAGUUCUGACCCGCAUGAAAGGCGUAAUGAUCUGGGCACUGUCUCAACAGCCCGCCCGGCGAAAUUGUAGUACCGGUGAAGAUGCCGGUUACCCGCGACAAGACGGAAAGACCCCAUGGAGCUUUACUGUAGCCUGAUAUUGGGUUUCGGUGUUGCAUGCACAGGAUAGAUGGGACGCUGGGAAAGAAGCGCUUUGGCGUUUCUGGAGCGGACGUUGGGAUACCAUCCUUGCGACAUUGGAAUUCUAACCUGCGCCUCUGAAUCGAGGCGGGGGACAUUGUCAGGUGGGCAGUUUGACUGGGGCGGUCGCCUCCUAAAAAGUAGCGGAGGCGUUCAAAGGUUCGUUCGAUCUGGACGGAAACCAGAUGAUUGAGUGCAAACGCAUAAACGAGCCUGACUGCGAGACUGACGGGUCGAGCAGAGACGAAAGUCGGAGUUAGUGAUCCGGUGGUAUGUGAGUGGAAAUGCCAUCGCUCA
rnacentral:rRNA from 1 species